AUGAAAAACGCAACGAUCGACGCAGAUCGGAUUAGAAGCGAUACCACGAUACGAUUAUCGGCAUACGUCGGCAUUAUCCGUCGUUGGCGUAAUGUUAUCGUUAGCGCGAUCCAACGAGGAUUGUUCGUAUUUUUCGUUACACGUUACGUUUCGUAACGUCCUGGUAAUCGGCUAGCUAUUUCUAAUGUCGCUCGCGAAGAAUUCGUCCGGAAAAACCGUAGUACGAUACGCGAGGAACGCAAACACUCGUCGAUAUUUGUAAAGAACGGGGAAUAUUUACCCGUGAGAUUUAAAACGCGUAAUACCUACGCCGGCGUUUUCAAAUAUCUCGUAGGUGCGAAAACCUAAAAGGAUAAUUUCAUCGCCCAACUCCACCGAUUAAUCAGCAAGCAGCCGUAUUCGUGCGUAGGAUAUCGUGAUUCGGAUAAAACGAGCGGUCUUUUCAUUCGCUGUCUUUCCCCUCGUUUCCCCUUCGCUGGCGAGUCCGAGGCAACGUUAACACCGAUUCGGUCGUGAACGCAACAUCAACAAUAAGUGCGAAUUUCUUUGGUUAGCUGUCUUCUUGGUGGCUGAGGAUACCGCGUGCACGGUGAAUCGAGGAAGGAGCCGAUGCAAAAAGCGGAAUAACCAGAAAUUUACUCGGAAUAUGAGCCUCGUGAAAAGAAACAACGGAGAUCUCGUUGGAGGCCGAGACAAAAGGGGGGCUCGUUGCAUGUUGGCCAGCCUUCUCGUAAUUUCGCCCUUGCAAAACAGGAAGUGCGAUACAAAGAGAGCGAGGCGCCGCGUUCUUUUUUCCUUCCGCGAUACUAACGAAAUUAAAGGUUCCUUUGUCGCCAGUUUCACGAAAUACGCGUAUCUACACUUUGCAAUAAGGCCCUCCUCCUCCCUAAGAGGAUCGUUGUAGAGGGAAAGAGGAACGAGCUGUACUACUUUUCGCAGCACCGCUUUUUCUCGAACUCUCCUCCCUGUCAUCCUGAUACGACGACCCCAUGGUACAGUACUCGACGAGCAGAAACGAGAUACAACGGGUUUUCGGUGUCCGUACUCGUCGAUCGAACGGCGUUUGCCGCCUUUAGCCUGUCGCGUAUGGUUUGCUCUCGAAGCGUCAAUCCUCGUCCACGUUGCCAACCAACUGUCUUCGUGGUUCCGGUAUUGGUUGGGCUACGUUAUAUUUUUCCAGCCACCGCGAUACCGGAGCAUGCGAAAAACGUCCGAGAAACCAGAGAGGCGUCGAAACGAGAGAGGCGUCGUCCGAAAGAUUUGAACGAGGAUAUUUAGCGACGUAAGUGGUAAACGCGUAAACUAACCACGAUCCGACAAGUUCGUCUUCGAUGAAACUUCUUACCGGUAAACUUACGCUUCUUUGCUACGAUCUUAACGGAUUGCAACGCGUUUACCUCCAACUACGAGAUCGUUGUCACAUCGUUAGUAUCUACGGCAUCCGCGUUUCCCAACGACAAACAACGAUAACGACAGAGAAGGAAGGAAGGAGGAAGGAAGACGGAGGUUCGAGGCAAACAUCGUUACGCGUGAAACGAUAAGCCGCGCUAAGCGGUUUCGAAAACGUCUUACGAGACUGGCAACGAUUUUCCCACGACUCCUCCCACGACCUACACAGAUUCUUUUCGAGGUUCUUCUUUGCCUUUUCGCCCCCCUCGCCUUGUUCUCGUUGGCUGUCUUUCUCGCGUAUACGAAUCGUAUUGACCGAGUCUUCGUCCCGGGAUGCGAAGAGCUCACUCGGUCAUGUAACGGGAUGCAAGGAAAACGCACUCCAACUCCCUUUGAUUUGCUCGCACAAUGACGGCUUUCGUCCGAACAAUGGCCAUGCGAGGGUAAGAUACGUGCUUUUCGAAGGUAUCCGCCCGGUCGCGGAGAAGUUGAGGAAAUCAGGACCGCAAAAGACGGGCUACCUGGCCGUCUGUAGCCGGAUGGAGGAGAGACGCCGAGGGAAGAAAGAAAAAAAAAGAAAGAAAGAAAGAAAGAAAGAAAGAAAAA